rnacentral:lncRNA from 1 species
GCUCCCGCAGGCCCAGGCUCCGCGUCGGGCCUCCGCGCCCGGGAUGCCUUCCCCACCGCCCUCCCACGCCGUCCCCCGCGCCGCUCCUCUCCCGGGAGGCCACCCACUCACCGCUCGGGGCCCCACGACCCACUGGAAGUCGGGAGGGGGCGGGAGGGGGCGCAAGGCGCGAGGUUAACUCCGAACCGCGUCCGCGGGAUGCGAAGCAGAGACGAUGCUAGACCUAGCGAGCCUCUCCCAGCAGGCACGUCGCCGCGUUCCGACUUCAGAGAGGGGGCGGCGCGCCGGGCCUCUGGGAAAUGUAGUCCAGCAGCCCGGGAAUACGCGGAGCUUGAAGCGCGGCGGCCCCCUUCCCCGGCAUGCAACUCUGCGCGGCCCGAAGCGCUGUGCCUCACAGACUUCUGGGAAAUGUCGUUCAGGGGAAGGACUCGCGGAAGGAUGGGGGUGCGGCGGGGCUCCCAGCAUGCAUUUCGGUCUCUUACAUGCAGCAUCAGUCACUUCUCCAAAAAGCCUGGACUCCUGUUGCUUGGAAAGGACAUUAGAGAACACAAACUCCGUAGUCUUGGGCCGACACUGCUUUUAGGUGCUUUUGGUGAACAGAGAAUGGCUCCCAUUCAAGAUACUGCACUGUUUCUUUAUCAGUAAUGAACUAUUUAAAAAUGGUGUUGCAACGACAGGGUAGUUAUUUGGAAAAAGGUCAAAUUCAUUCAAUAGCUCAAAUUAUAUAUCAGGAUAAAGUACAAGAGGAUCAGAGAUGUAAAAGUAAAAAAGUAAGUCAUAAACAUGAUAAAAAUGUGUACAUAACAUGGAAAUAAGGAGAGAUCCUUUCGAACUGUAACCCAAAAUCCAGAAGUUGUAAGAGGCACAUCACAGUUUAAGUGUUGAAAGCAAAAGACAAAGAGGAAAUCCUGAAGCAGCAACAGAACAGACUCAUUGUAUAGAGGAUAACAACAAUGUGAUGACUAAUGCCUGGCACUUCAUCAGAAAUAGUAAGUGAAGGCAGUGGAAUAAGAUAUUCAAAGUAAUGAGAGAAUAAUAAUUUAAAAAGGUCCAAGAGGAAUACUAUAUCCAGCAAAACUAUCAUUAAAAAAUCAGGGGGAAAUAAAGACAUUUCCUGGCGAACA